AGAUAAACUGCCGCAACCAUUAGUUUGUAUUGCAGAAUUGAUGACUUUGCUAGAAAUGUCACUAUCUUGUCCUUCUGAAUUCAUAGGAAAUAUAUAGCAGCGCGGAAAAGGGAUAUUUAGUGCUCGACUCCAAAAUAUGGAGUUUGCCCAAAGGAAGUCUUCAAACUUCACAUCUCUUUCUGGAUGUCCAUCAAGAGUUAAAAGCUUCUUAGCCAACCUUUUCACCUUUUCAUCAAAUAAAGACUGCAGUGUUU
rnacentral:misc_RNA from 1 species